rfam:Coprobacillus sp. 29_1 genomic scaffold supercont1.6, whole genome shotgun sequence.
GUACUUGUAGCAAAGUUGGUAAUGCACUCGACUUCUAAUAGAGGGUAUGAGGGUUCAACCACUUCUAAGUAUA